GUGUACAAAUCCUACUGUUGUAUUCGAGUAUUCUCCUACCGCCCCUGAUAUGAUUGCAGAGAACAUUACAAUUUGCAAGAUUGAGCAAUUAUGGACAAAAGGUGGCUGGUACAUUUUCUUUGGGAAUUUUAGUAUUCGGUUUCGCUCCAAUGUGAUUCAUUAAGAGGAGAAACUUGUUGAACGUCAUAACGGUAUCUUAUUGAAGAGCAUGAUGAGG